rnacentral:rRNA from 1 species
UGGGGAAUAUUGCACAAUGGGGGAAACCCUGAUGCAGCGACGCCGCGUGAACGCAGAAGGUAUUCGUAUCGUAAAGUUCUGUCCUAUGGGAAGAUAAUGACAGUACCAUAGAAGAAAGCUCCGGCUAAAUACGUGCCAGCAGCCGCGGUAAUACGUAUGGAGCGAGCGUUGUCCGGACUUAUUGGGCGUAAAGGGUACGCAGGCGGUUGAAUAAGUCGAAUGUUAAAGAUCGGGGCUCAACCCCGCAAAGCAUUGGAAACUGAUAAACUUGAGUAGUGGAGAGGAAAGUGGAAUUCCUAGUGUAGUGGUGAAAUACGUAGAUAUUAGGAGGAAUACCAGUAGCGAAGGCGACUUUCUGGACACAAACUGACGCUGAGGUACGAAAGCGUGGGGAGCAAACAGG